rnacentral:rRNA from 1 species
AUGGGCCUCCGGGGCGUUUGGGGCCUUGGGGGUGGGGGCACGCGAGUGGGACCCAGCUCUCGCCCCGCCUCUUUCCUCUUCCGUCCAGUUGUCAUCUUCCUUGGCCCUAACCCUAAGGUAGCGGCGGUGUUCUCGGCGCUAGGUUUGCCGCCGCAGUUUUCUCCUGGAGGGAGAGCUGCGCCGCCGUGGUCUCCGUCCUCCGGCCCGUCUGCUCGGUUGGUGGAGGGGUUCGGGGCUGGUUGCUGGACUCCGUCAGGCUGCUCACCUUUCUGCGCUCCGAUAUUGAUGAGAGGCCUCCUGAUUGGUUCUACUUGGAGUCAUCUUUUCAAUGGGACUGCUCUAUACUACAUUAAGGAGCAGAAGUGCAAGGUCAUCGCUCUAUGGAACUGGUUUGUCAUAUUUCCCUGUAUACAUUUUGAUUACCCAAUCGUCUCCACGUACAAACUAUUAAUGCUCCAGUAUACUGCAUUGUCAUAUUCAUUGCCCAGCAAGAUACUUCAGAAGCAGAGCUUCAGUUAUUUUACUUAUACUAGCUUAGAUAAGAUCGCCAACAGUCUGGGCAGUCAAACCACUGGCUCUGGAAAAAAUGGCUUGCAGAAUGGGGAUGACAGGGCUGAAGACAGGAGUGCUAUCUGUGUACAUAAUGUAUACGAUAUUUUGGUGCAUAAUAUUCCCGCAUUGAAUUUUAAGAUGGAAUCAAAGUUCGAUAUGUGGAAUACUGUUGGGCUCCUCUGCUACGUGUAUAAGCAAAAAAAGCUAAAAUGGAAGUUCACCAAGCUGGCCUUUCUCAAGCUACCACUUCCACUUGAUGUCUACAAGGAGGUAAAGCUAUCUUUCGUUAUUUUCAGCAUCCGGUCCUUGCUACACUUCAUCAGAAUGUUAUUCCUCCAAUGUCAAACCCAGCCAUCUUGUGCUCUAUGCAUUACUGACCUGUGCUGUGUAUAUGGCAAAGCAUCGGUCAUUGUUCUUGCAUGCUAA